rnacentral:rRNA from 1 species
CAUGCAAGUCGAACGGCAGCACGGGGGCAACCCUGGUGGCGAGUGGCGAACGGGUGAGUAAUAUAUCGGAACGUGUCCUGUAGCGGGGGAUAACCUAUCGAAAGAUGGACUAAUACCGCAUACGACCUACGGGUGAAAGCGGAGGACUCUCGGGCAACUGAGGGCUUCGCACUAUAGGAGCGGCCGAUAUCGGAUUAGCUAGUUGGUGAGGUAAAAGCUCACCAAGGCGACGAUCCGUAGCUGGUCUGAGAGGACGACCAGCCACACUGGAACUGAGACACGGUCCAGACUCCUACGGGAGGCAGCAGUGGGGAAUUUUGGACAAUGGGCGCAAGCCUGAUCCAGCCAUGCCGCGUGAGUGAAGAAGGCCUUCGGGUUGUAAAGCUCUUUCGGCGGGGACGAAAUGGUUCGUGCUAAUACCACGGACUGAUGACGGUACCCGCAGAAGAAGCACCGGCUAACUACGUGCCAGCAGCCGCGGUAAUACGUAGGGUGCAGGCGUUAAUCGGAAUUACUGGGCGUAAAGCGUGCGCAGGCGGUUUGUUAAGACAGAUGUGAAAUCCCCGGGCUUAACCUGGGAACUGCGUUUGUAACUGGCAGACUGGAGUGUGGCAGAGGGGGGUGGAAUUCCAAGUGUAGCAGUGAAAUGCGUAGAUAUUUGGAGGAACACCGAUGGCGAAGGCAGCCCCCUGGGCUAACACUGACGCUCAUGCACGAAAGCGUGGGGAGCAAACAGGAUUAGAUACCCUGGUAGUCCACGCCCUAAACUAUGUCAACUGGGUUGUCGGGGAAGCAAUUCCUUGGUAACGAAGCUAACGCGUGAAG